ensembl:lncRNA
AACAAAUGUUUAUUAAAUGCUUUCUACUACUAGAUACUGGUAUAAGUGCUAAGUGUGCAACCCCUCACAUGCCACCAAUCUUAAGUGACAAGGUUAUACAUUGAAUAAGUAUAAUUAUACUAUAAAUAAUAUAGCAUCAUUCUAAAAUGUCACAAAUUUCCCCUUACAUUUAACUAUAUAAAUAUCCUUUCUUCUUACAAAGCUCAACAGAGAUUCAUGUUCAGAAUCAAACAGGAUCAUUAUAAAUCAAUAAUAAAAUGACAAUAUAAAAUGCUAAUGAUAUUCUCCUUCAAUAACAAUACAACUUCUCACCCCAGAAAGCUCACUACAAAGGUUAUAUAUUUUAUAAUCUAAAAGAGCAUCAUCAUAACCAAACAAUAUAUUAAAACAGCAUAAAAUAUCAAUUGUUAUCCAUCCUCUAAAAUUUAAACCUACCAGCCUCCUUCUAUGUAUUCAAACACUUCUUCAAAAAUAAACACCCAUCAGUCUUUGAGCAGUCAUUGAAGAGGAAAGAACUGCGGGUGUGUGUAUGUGUGUGUGCACAUGUGAGUGCAUGCAUGAGUGUGUGGACAAGGAGAUGGAGAUGGCUGAGUUAAGAGUCCUAACUCCUUGGACUCCAUUUGCUAUUCUCUUUUUUCUCCCACACACCUAUCUGGUGGUGGUGGGCAUUUAAAUUUGUGUUUCUUUUCAUUCAUUUUGAGCUUUUAAAAUUUUAGGGAUAGGGUAGUGAGAAAAGCAGGAAAGAGUAAUGGAGGAGAGUAGUAGCAUAAAAGCAGGAGGAGUACAUGGAGAUGAAGAAGAGGAUUAACCUGGAGUUAAGGGACAGACCCCUGGAGGAGGUGACAGAGUUGGUCCUUGAUAAUUGCCUAUGUGUCAAAGGGGAAAUUGAGGGCAUGAAUGAUACUUUAAAAAAACCUGGAGUUUCUGAGUAUAGCUAAUGCGAAACUAAGUUCACUGGCCUGGCUGCCCAGCUUAAAUAAACUUCAAAAGUUAGAACUUAAUAAUAUAAUUUCUGGAGGCCUGGAAGUCCUGGCAGGGAACUGCAAAUCUUACCUACCUCAAUUUGAGUGGAAACAAAAUAAAAGAUCUCAGUAUAGUAGAAGCUCUGCAAAAUCUUAAAAAGUUGAAGUCUUGACUUGUUUAACUCUGAGAUCACAAACCUGGAAGAUUAUAGAGAAAGUAUUUUUGAGCUGCUGCAGCAAAUCACAUACUUAGAUGGAUUUGACCAGGAGAAUAAUAAAGCACAAGACUCAGAAGAAGAGACUGAUGAGGAUGGAGAUGAUGAAGAUGAAGAGAAAGAUGAAGCUGGUCCACCUGAAGGAUAUGAGGAAGAAGAGGAGGACAAGGAUGAUGAUGAGGAUGAAGAUGAACCAGGCUCAGAAUUGGGAGAGGGAGAAGAGGAAGUGGGCCUCUCAUAUUUAAUGAAAGAAGACACUCAGGAUGAGGAAGAUGAUGAUGACUAUGAUGAAGAAGAAGAAGAGGAGGAAGAAGAAGGUCUUCGAGCGGAAAAGAGGGAAUGAGAUGCUUAAGACGAUGGAGAGGAAGAAUAUGACUACAUCAUUCUAAGACAAGAUUCCCUAAUGUGUCUGGGUGUGCAAUAGAGUGAUCACAUCUUUGUUUCUUCAUAUACAAUAGCUAUCCUUACAGAAGAUAACAUGUAACUUUUUAUAGGAAAAGUGUGGUUUUACUAUUUUUGCCUUAUCAUUCCAAAUAAGAUUAACUAGUCUGUUAACGAUCAUAUUGUAAGUAGAGAAAUCUUCAUUGACCCCAUUGUGAAAUUUCCUAGCAAUUUAUUUAGAAUCUUAGAUUUUCUAAUUAAAGCUCACUGUAUUAGUCAAUUUUAUCAUAAUUAAACAUGAUUGCUUUUACACAGUGUAUAUGGUGCAUUUCAUUCAUAAGUUUUUAAGGUUAUUUAUAAAUUAACUGAAAUCACAGUUGGCUGGAAUCUGGAAUGAAAAUAGUCUCUUGAAUGAUAUGUUGGUUAUUUUAUUAGAGGUGACCCAGAGAUCUUGUAGUUUGAAGGCAGAGACUUUUGGCUGAGGUUGUUUGGGGUUGCUUUUUCUCACAUGAGUGCUUUGGAAAGUAGGAACAGAAUAGCAAAGGUUCUAUUCAACAAUAUAUUUCAUGGCUUUUAUGGAGGCUUCUGAAACCUUUUAAAGCCAGGUGACUAAGAUUUUAGUUUUGAAGGAAAAAUUGACCUUAUACUGAGGUCAGAGACAUGUAGGUGUAAGACCUUUCUUCUUCAAGCUUAAGAUCAUGACAUACCAACUUAUCUUGUUUUAAGUGUGCAUUCUUUGUUUUCCUCUCAGUGAUUACUUAUGAUCACCUCCUUUUCUUGUGUUUUUUUUUUGUUCUUCCUCUUACAUAAGUUUUUUGUUUUUUGUUUGUUUUAUUACUCAAAU